CAUAGUCAUUGUACUAAAUCUACAUAUACACCUUCCUGUGUGCCCUGUAUUGACUCCACCUUCCUUGAUGAGCCCAGUGGUAAAACAACAUGCAACAACUGUACCACAUGUGAUCCAGGUUUGGGUUUGAAGGUAAAGCAGCCAUGUAGACCUUCAUCAGACACUGUCUGUGGGACACUGGAGGGGUUCUACUGUCUCGACCCAACUAAGGAUGGUUGUAGAGCAGCCCAGAGACACAGCAGCUGUCUGCCUGGUCAAUACAUCAGCCACACAGGAACAACAUCUACAGAUACUGUGUGUGCUGACUGCCCUGGUAAAACUUAUUCAAAUGGAUCAUUAACAUCUUGUCAACAACACACAGAAUGUGAAUUCUUGGAAAUAAAACCAGGAACUCCUUGGUCGGAUUCAGAAUGCGGAGUAGCUUCACUUCCCACAGCUGGAAUCAUAGCUGGUGUUCUCAUAUGUUUUUUCCAGAUAGGCACGAUAGCUGGUGUUUGUUUAUGUAAAAC